rnacentral:sRNA from 1 species
GAAGUAACAUCUUGGCUACUCGAAUUGACUUUUAACCCAGUCACUAUCUCGAUUAUCAAAACACCCAAGCUGAAUAUGUCUGAUUUGGUUGAGAUUUCACCGCUGUAACGAUACUCCGGGGCAAUGUAUCCUCUGAAUUACAGAAACACUAAUAUUUUAAUUGCUAUAGGAUUGGAAAUGCAAUGGGAAACAAUAAAUCUUCAAUAAUGAAAAUAUGGAGGUUAUUAU